UACGUAGGGUGCAAGCGUUAAUCGGAAUUACUGGGCGUAAAGCGCGCGUAGGUGGCCAAUUAAGUCAAAUGUGAAAUCCCCGAGCUUAACUUGGGAAUUGCAUUCGAUACUGGUUGGCUAGAGUAUGGGAGAGGAUGGUAGAAUUCCAGGUGUAGCGGUGAAAUGCGUAGAGAUCUGGAGGAAUACCGAUGGCGAAGGCAGCCAUCUGGCCUAAUACUGACACUGAGGUGCGAAAGCAUGGGGAGCAAACAGG
rnacentral:rRNA from 1 species